GACGAACGCUGGCGGCGUGCUUAACACAUGCAAGUCGAACGGAAAGGCCCUGCUUUUGUGGGGUGCUCGAGUGGCGAACGGGUGAGUAACACGUGAGUAACCUGCCCUUGACUUUGGGAUAACUUCAGGAAACUGGGGCUAAUACCGGAUAGGAGCUCCUGCUGCAUGGUGGGGGUUGGAAAGUUUCGGCGGUUGGGGAUGGACUCGCGGCUUAUCAGCUUGUUGGUGGGGUAGUGGCUUACCAAGGCUUUGACGGGUAGCCGGCCUGAGAGGGUGACCGGCCACAUUGGGACUGAGAUACGGCCCAGACUCCUACGGGAGGCAGCAGUGGGGAAUAUGGCACAAUGGGCGGAAGCCGGAUGCAGCAACGCCGCGUGCGGGAUGACGGCCUUCGGGUGGUAAACCGCUUUCGCCUGUGACGAAGCGUGAGUGACGGUAAUGGGUAAAGAAGCACCGGCUAACUACGU
rnacentral:rRNA from 1 species